rnacentral:rRNA from 1 species
AGAGUUUGAUCCUGGCUCAGGAUGAACGCUGGCGGCGUGCCUAAUACAUGCAAGUCGAGCGAACGGACGAGAAGCUUGCUUCUCUGAUGUUAGCGGCGGACGGGUGAGUAACACGUGGAUAACCUACCUAUAAGACUGGGAUAACUUCGGGAAACCGGAGCUAAUACCGGAUAAUAUUUUGAACCGCAUGGUUCAAAAGUGAAAGACGGUCUUGCUGUCACUUAUAGAUGGAUCCGCGCUGCAUUAGCUAGUUGGUAAGGUAACGGCUUACCAAGGCAACGAUGCAUAGCCGACCUGAGAGGGUGAUCGGCCACACUGGAACUGAGACACGGUCCAGACUCCUACGGGAGGCAGCAGUAGGGAAUCUUCCGCAAUGGGCGAAAGCCUGACGGAGCAACGCCGCGUGAGUGAUGAAGGUCUUCGGAUCGUAAAACUCUGUUAUUAGGGAAGAACAUAUGUGUAAGUAACUGUGCACAUCUUGACGGUACCUAAUCAGAAAGCCACGGCUAACUACGUGCCAGCAGCCGCGGUAAUACGUAGGUGGCAAGCGUUAUCCGGAAUUAUUGGGCGUAAAGCGCGCGUAGGCGGUUUUUUAAGUCUGAUGUGAAAGCCCACGGCUCAACCGUGGAGGGUCAUUGGAAACUGGAAAACUUGAGUGCAGAAGAGGAAAGUGGAAUUCCAUGUGUAGCGGUGAAAUGCGCAGAGAUAUGGAGGAACACCAGUGGCGAAGGCGACUUUCUGGUCUGUAACUGACGCUGAUGUGCGAAAGCGUGGGGAUCAAACAGGAUUAGAUACCCUGGUAGUCCACGCCGUAAACGAUGAGUGCUAAGUGUUAGGGGGUUUCCGCCCCUUAGUGCUGCAGCUAACGCAUUAAGCACUCCGCCUGGGGAGUACGACCGCAAGGUUGA